rnacentral:rRNA from 1 species
GACGAACGCUGGCGGCGUGCCUAAUACAUGCAAGUAGAACGCUGAAGAGAGGAGCUUGCUCUUCUUGGAUGAGUUGCGAACGGGUGAGUAACGCGUAGGUAACCUGCCUGGUAGCGGGGGAUAACUAUUGGAAACGAUAGCUAAUACCGCAUAAAAUUGAUUAUUGCAUGAUAAUUAAUUGAAAGAUGCAAUUGCAUCACUACCAGAUGGACCUGCGUUGUAUUAGCUAGUUGGUGAGGUAACGGCUCACCAAGGCGACGAUACAUAGCCGACCUGAGAGGGUGAUCGGCCACACUGGGACUGAGACACGGCCCAGACUCCUACGGGAGGCAGCAGUAGGGAAUCUUCGGCAAUGGGGGGAACCCUGACCGAGCAACGCCGCGUGAGUGAAGAAGGUUUUCGGAUCGUAAAGCUCUGUUGUAAGAGAAGAACGGGUGUGAGAGUGGAAAGUUCACA